rnacentral:misc_RNA from 1 species
GAUGAAGAACGUAGCGAAAUGCGAUACGUAAUGUGAAUUGCAGAAUUCAGUGAAUCAUCGAAUCUUUGAACGCAUAUUGCGCUCUCUGGUAUUCCGGAGAGCAUGCUUGUUUGAGUAUCAGUAAACACCUCAACUCCCUUUUCUUUUUUGAAAUUGGAGCUGGACUUGAGUGAUCCCAACGCUUUCUUCCAAGAAAGUGGAGGGUUGCUUGAAAUGCAGGUGCAGCUGAACUUUUCUCUGAGCUAUAAGCAUAUCUAUUUAGUCUGCCUAAAAAACAGAUUAUUACCUUUGCUGCAGCUAACAUAAAGGAGACUAGUUCUUGUGCUGACUGAUGCAGGAUUCACAGAGACAGCUUCGGCUGACUUUGUAAACUCGAUCUCAAAUCAAGUAAGACUACCCGCUGAACUUAAGCAUAUCAAUAAGCGGAGGA